rnacentral:rRNA from 1 species
AUGGUAGCUGCAGCAAGCAGGCACGGAGGCGUUGCGCGGGGGCGCAACUGGCGCGGUGGCAGAGACAGAGCAAAGGAACCAACGAUGCAGCAGAGGGAAGGCGGGAUCAGAGGACUGGCCGAGCCAGCGGCUGGGAGCUUCAUGGCGUCGCCAUGGCAGGGAGGCGAUGGUGCUGGUAGCGGGGAGGUCCAGCGACACACGGGAAGAGCAGCUGCAGCAGGGCGCGGUUGCGGCGAUGAGUCAGGAGCAGAGCAGCAAGGCAAGGGUAGCGGCGCACAUGGAGGCAAGCGGUGGCGGAGCAGCGAGUUGAAGAAGAUGGCGAGGAGGUGGACGCCGACAGCAACUGGUCUGUGGCAGGAGGCCAUGGCGAGCAGGCGACGGCCAUGGACGGCGGAUCAGCGGCAGAGCAGCACGGUGGCCAGCUCACGGCAGGCUGCUGCAGCCACGUAA